AAAAAAUUCGGCUUCUCCUUCCCUUAGCCCCUCUAUCUCUCUCUCAAAUUCAUUCUCUCUCAUCAACCCUCUCUCCUUUUAUUUUCUGAUCUUUCAUUCAGAGCUCCUUCGUUCUCUCUCAUCUCUCAUCUGCAUGCAUCUCAGAUCUCUCUAAACUCUCAAAUCCUUCGUUCUUCUUCAAUUAUAGCUACCAAGCAAGGUAGUAUUACAACUACAGCAAUUUCUCAUAGACGAAGGAUUCAAGAUCCAAGGAUUUGGUGUUUUGUUGUUCAUUGUUACGUUUUUAUUUAUAUAAUUUUUUAUAAAUUGUAAAAUAACAAUUUAUUUAAUAUAAUAUAUUCAUGUAUAUUAUGGUGUUCA